GAUGAACGUUGGCGGCGUGCCUAAUACAUGCAAGUCGAACGGAGAUUGUAGCAAUACGGUCUCAGUGGCGAACGGGUGAGUAACGCGUUGGUGACCUGCCCCGAAGUGUGGAAUAACAGAUCGAAAGAGCUGCUAAUACCGCAUAAUAUCCAGAGGACUAGAUGCCUUUGGAUUAAAGGAUUUAUUCGCUUCGGGAGGGGCCUGCGUCCCAUCAGCUAGUUGGUAAGGUAAAGGCUUACCAAGGCUAUGACGGGUAGGGGACCUGAGAGGGUGGCCCCCCACAAUGGAACUGAAACACGGUCCAUACACCUACGGGUGGCAGCAGUAGGGAAUAUUAGUAAUGGGCGAAAGCCUGAACUAGCAACGCCGCGUGUGCGAAGAAGGCCUUCGGGUUAUAAAGCACUUUUUGAGAGGAUGAGGAAGGACGGUACUCUCAGAAUAAGUCUCGGCUAACUACGUGCCAGCAGCCGCGGUAACUGUAGUCGU
rnacentral:rRNA from 1 species